rnacentral:rRNA from 1 species
UAAGACAGAGGUGGCAAGCGUUGUUCGGAUUUACUGGGCGUAAAGAGUGCGUAGGUGGUGAGGUAAGAUCUGUGGGAAAGACCUGGGCUUAACCCAGGAAGGUCGCAGAUGACUGCCUCGCUUGAGGACGGGAGAGGAGAGCGGAAUUCCCGGUGUAGCGGUGAAAUGCGUAGAGAUCGGGAAGAAGGCCGGUGGCGAAGGCGGCUCUCUGGAACGUUCCUGACACUGAGGCACGAAAGCGUGGGGAGCAAACAGGAUUAGAUACCCUGGUAGUCCACGCCCUAAACGAUGGAUACUAAGUGUCGGCGGGUUACCGCCGGUGCCGCACCUAACGGAGUAAGUAUCCCGCCUGGGGAGUACGGCCGCAAGGUUG